rnacentral:ncRNA from 1 species
CCCCAGUGAACGGCGGCCGUAACUAUAACGGUCCUAAGGUAGCGAAAUUCCUUGUCGGGUAAGUUCCGACCCGCACGAAAGGCGUAACGACUUGGAUGCUGUCUCAACCAGAGACUCGGCGAAAUUGGAGUAUCCGUGAAGAUACGGAUUACCCGCAGCAGGACAGAAAGACCCCGUGGAGCUUUACUGUAGCUUGGCUUUGUGUUUUUGAAUAUUAUGUGCAGGAUAAGUGGGAGACUUUGAACUCUUCUCGCUAGAGUUGAGGGAGUCACCGUUGAGAUACCACUCUUAAUAUUUGAGGAUACUAACCGUAUGCCGUUAUCCGGCUACGGAACAGAGUCUGGUGGGCAGUUUGACUGGGGCGGUCGCCUCCCAAAAGGUAACGGAGGCGCUCAAAGGUUCCCUCAGGACGAUUGGAAACCGUCCAUAGAGUGUAAGGGCAUAAGGGAGCUUGACUGUAAGAGGUACAUCUCAAGCAGAGACGAAAGUCGGACCUAGUGAUCCGGUGUUCCCGUGUGGAAGGGACAUCGCUCAACGGAUAAAAGUUACCCCGGGGAUAACAGGCUUAUUCCUCCCAAGAGUUCACAUCGACGGAGGAGUUUGGCACCUCGAUGUCGGCUCGUCACAUCCUGGAGCUGGAGCAGGUUCCAAGGGUUGGGCUGUUCGCCCAUUAAAGUGGUACGCGAGCUGGGUUCAGAACGUCGUAAGACAGUUUGGUCCAUAUCCGCUGUGGGCGCAGGAAAUUUGAGGGGAUUUAUUCCUAGUACGAGAGGACCGGAAUGAACAAACCUAUGGUGUAUCAGUUAUCGUGCCAACGGUAAAUGCUGAGUAGCUACGUUUGGAUCGGAUAAACGCUGAAAGCAUCUAAGCGUGAAGCCGGCCCCAAGAUAAGAUUUCCCAUUCCUUUAUGGAAGUAAGACCUCUUGAAGACUACAAGGUUGAUAGGCUGGAGGUAGAAGUGCAGUAAUGUAUGAAGCUGACCAGUACUAAUAGGUCGAGGUCUUGAUUAC